AGUUUGAUUAUGGCUCAGAUUGAACGCUGGCCGGGAUGCUUUACACAUGCAAGUCGAACGGCAGCACGGACUUCGGUCUGGUGGCGAGAGUGGCGAACGGGUGAGUAAUGUAUCGGAACGUGCCUAGUAGCGGGGGAUAACUACGCGAAAGCGUAGCUAAUACCGCAUACGCCCUUCGGGGAAAGCGGGGGACCUUCGGGCCUCGCACUAUUAGAGCGGCCGAUAUCGGAUUAGCUAGUUGGUGGGGUAACGGCUCACCAAGGCGACGAUCCGUAGCUGGUUUGAGAGGACGACCAGCCACACUGGGACUGAGACACGGCCCCAGGCUCUACGGGAGGCAGCAGUGGGGAAUUUUGGACAAUGGGGAAACCCUGAUCCAGCCAUCCCGCGUGUGCGAUGAAGGCCUUCGGGUUUGUAAAAGCACUUUUGGCAGGAAAGAAACGGCACGGGAUAAUACCCCGUGCAACUGACGGUACCUGCAGAAUAAGCACCGGCUAACUACGUGCCAGCAGCCGCGGUAAUACGUAGGGUGUGCAAGCGUUAAUCGGAAUUACUGGGCGUAAAGCGUGCGCAGGCGGUUCGGAAAGUGAAAUCCCAGAGCUUAACUUUGGAACUGCAUUUUUAACUACCGAGCUAGAGUGUGUCAGAGGGAGGUGGAAUUCCGCGUGUAGCAGUGAAAUGCGUAGAUAUGCGGAGGAGGAACACCGAUGGCGAAGGCGGCCUCCUGGGAUAACAUUGACGCUCAUGCACGAAAGCGUGGGAAGCAAACAGGAUUAGAUACCCUGGUAGUCCACGCCUAAACGAUGUCAACUAGCUGUUGGGGCCUUCGGGCGCUUGGUAGCGCAGCUAACGCGUGAAGUUGACCGCCUGGGAGGUACGGUCACCAAGAUUAAAACUCAAAAUUGACGGGGACCCGCACAAGCGGUGGAUGAUGUGGAUUAAUUCGAUGCAACGCGAAAACCUUACCUACCCUUGACAUGUCUGGAAUCCCGAAGAGAUUUGGGAGUGCUCGCAAGAGAACCGGAACACAGGUGCUGCAUGGCUGUCGUCAGCUCGUGUCGUGAGAUGUUGGGUUAAGUCCCGCAACGAGCGCAACCCUUGUCAUUAGUUGCUACGAAAGGGCACUCUAAUGAGACUGCCGAUGAGCAAACCGGAGGAAGGUGGGGAUGACGUCAAGUCCUCAUGGCCCUUAUGGGUAGGGCUUCACACGUCAUACAAUGGUCGGGACAGGGGGGUCGCCAACCCGCGAGGGGGGAGCCAAUCCCAGAAACCCGAUCGUAGUCCGGAUCGCAGUCUGCAACUCGACUGCGUGAAGUCGGAAUCGCUAGUAAUCGCGGAUCAGCAUGUCGCGGUGAAUACGUUCCCGGGUCUUGUACACACCGCCCGUCACACCAUGGGAGUGGGUUUUACCAGAAGUAGUUAGCCUAACCGUAAGGAGGGCGAUUACCACGGUAGGAUUCAUGACUGGGGUGAAGUCGUAACAAGGUAG
rnacentral:rRNA from 1 species